GUCCCCGUAGCACAGUGGUUAGUGCGCCUGACUACGAAGAAUUGUAUCUUUCGAUCAGGAGGCCGCAUGUUCAAUCCAUGCCUGGGAUU